rnacentral:rRNA from 1 species
AUGGGAAAGGACACUAUUGCUGAUUUACUAACCUCUAUAAGAAAUGCGGACAUGAAUAAAAAAGGAACGUUGUUAAAAUACUUCUACGAGAGGGUUUUAUUGAAAGUGUUCAGAAACAUCAGGAACGUAAUUGAUAUUUCUUGGUUUCAACUUUGCGACAUCAAAAGAGAAAGACUAGAAAAGGAAUAUAUAGAACAAGAACCUUUUUAA